UGGGGAAUCUUGCACAAUGGGGGCAACCCUGAUGCAGCGACGCCGCGUGAGCGAUGAAGCCCUUCGGGGUGUAAAGCUCUUUCGGCAGGGAAGAUAAUGACGGUACCUGCAGAAGCAGCUGCGGCUAACUACGUGCCAGCAGCCGCGGUAAUACGUAGGCAGCGAGCGUUGUUCGGAGUUACUGGGCGUAAAGGGUGUGUAGGCGGUUGUUUAAGUUUGGUGUGAAAUCUCCCGGCUCAACCGGGAGGGUGCGCCGAAUACUGAAUGACUUGGAGUGCGGGAGAGGAAAGUGGAAUUCCUGGUGUAGCGGUGAAAUGCGUAGAUAUCAGGAGGAACACCGGUGGUGUAGACGGCUUUCUGGACCGUAACUGACGCUGAGACACGAAAGCGUGGGUAGCAAACA
rnacentral:rRNA from 1 species